rnacentral:lncRNA from 1 species
GCGUGCUGGGCGGUGGGCGAGAGCUAUGCUGUAGGUAAUUGCUGAGCCCAGGAGAUGAGUGGCGCCCGAGCCCCUGCCACUGUCCCUGCAGUCGCCACCCAGGUGAAGCUGGGGG